rnacentral:rRNA from 1 species
AGAGUUUGAUCCUGGCUCAGAUUGAACGCUGGCGGCAGGCCUAACACAUGCAAGUCGAGCGGUAGCACAGAGAGCUUGCUCUCGGGUGACGAGCGGCGGACGGGUGAGUAAUGUCUGGGAAACUGCCUGAUGGAGGGGGAUAACUACUGGAAACGGUAGCUAAUACCGCAUAACGUCGCAAGACCAAAGAGGGGGACCUUCGGGCCUCUUGCCAUCAGAUGUGCCCAGAUGGGAUUAGCUAGUAGGUGGGGUAACGGCUCACCUAGGCGACGAUCCCUAGCUGGUCUGAGAGGAUGACCAGCCACACUGGAACUGAGACACGGUCCAGACUCCUACGGGAGGCAGCAGUGGGGAAUAUUGCACAAUGGGCGCAAGCCUGAUGCAGCCAUGCCGCGUGUAUGAAGAAGGCCUUCGGGUUGUAAAGUACUUUCAGCGGGGAGGAAGGUGUUGAGGUUAAUAACCUCAGCAAUUGACGUUACCCGCAGAAGAAGCACCGGCUAACUCCGUGCCAGCAGCCGCGGUAAUACGGAGGGUGCAAGCGUUAAUCGGAAUUACUGGGCGUAAAGCGCACGCAGGCGGUCUGUCAAGUCGGAUGUGAAAUCCCCGGGCUCAACCUGGGAACUGCAUCCGAAACUGGCAGGCUUGAGUCUUGUAGAGGGGGGUAGAAUUCCAGGUGUAGCGGUGAAAUNCNUANAGAUCUGGAGGAAUACCGGNGGCGA